UGGGGAAUAUUGCACAAUGGGCGCAAGCCUGAUGCAGCCAUGCCGCGUGUGUGAAGAAGGCCUUCGGGUUGUAAAGCACUUUCAGCGGGGAGGAAGGCGAUAAGGUUAAUAACCUUGUCGAUUGACGUUACCCGCAGAAGAAGCACCGGCUAACUCCGUGCCAGCAGCCGCGGUAAUACGGAGGGUGCAAGCGUUAAUCGGAAUUACUGGGCGUAAAGCGCACGCAGGCGGUCUGUCAAGUCGGAUGUGAAAUCCCCGGGCUUAACCUGGGAACUGCAUUCGAAACUGGCAGGCUAGAGUCUUGCAGAGGGGGGUAGAAUUCCAGGUGUAGCGGUGAAAUGCGUAGAGAUCUGGAGGAAUACCGGUGGCGAAGGCGGCCCCCUGGACAAAGACUGACGCUCAGGUGCGAAAGCGUGGGGAGCAAACAGG
rnacentral:rRNA from 1 species